rnacentral:rRNA from 1 species
ACGAACGCUGGCGGCGUGCUUAACCCAUGCAAGUCGAACGGUGAAGCGCCUUCCUUUUUGGUGGGUGUGGAUGAGUGGCGAACGGGUGAGUAACACGUGAGUAACCUGCCCCCUUCUUCUGGAUAACCGCAUGAAAGUGUGGCUAAUACGGGAUAUUCUGGGUCUGUCGCAUGAUGGGUCUGGGAAAGAUAUUGUUUCGGUGGGGGAUGGGCUCGCGGCCUAUCAGCUUGUUGGUGGGGUGAUGGCCUACCAAGGCGGUGACGGGUAGCCGGCCUGGGAGGGUGGACGGUCACACUGGGACUGAGACACGGCCCAGACUCCUACGGGAGGCAACAGUGGGGAAUAUUGCACAAUGGGCGCAAGCCUGAUGCAGCGACGCCGCGUGAGGGAUGGAGGCCUUCGGGUUGUGAACCUCUUUCGCCAGUGAAGCAGGCCUGCCUCGUUUGUGGGUGGGUUGACGGUAGCUGGAUAAGAAGCGCCGGCUAACUACGUG